CUAAUACAUGCAAGUCGAACGCUUUGUGGUUCAACUGAUUUGAAGAGCUUGCUCAGAUAUGACGAUGGACAUUGCAAAGAGUGGCGAACGGGUGAGUAACACGUGGGAAACCUACCUCUUAGCAGGGGAUAACAUUUGGAAACAGAUGCUAAUACCGUAUAACAAUAGCAACCGCAUGGUUGCUACUUAAAAGAUGGUUCUGCUAUCACUAAGAGAUGGUCCCGCGGUGCAUUAGUUAGUUGGUGAGGUAAUGGCUCACCAAGACGAUGAUGCAUAGCCGAGUUGAGAGACUGAUCGGCCACAAUGGGACUGAGACACGGCCCAUACUCCUACGGGAGGCAGCAGUAGGGAAUCUUCCACAAUGGGCGAAAGCCUGAUGGAGCAACGCCGCGUGUGUGAUGAAGGGUUUCGGCUCGUAAAACACUGUUGUAAGAGAAGAAUGACAUUGAGAGUAACUGUUCAAUGUGUGACGGUAUCUUACCAGAAAGGAACGGCUAAAUACGUGCCAGCAGCCGCGGUAAUACGUAUGUUCCAAGCGUUAUCCGGAUUUAUUGGGCGUAAAGCGAGCGCAGACGGUUAUUUAAGUCUGAAGUGAAAGCCCUCAGCUCAACUGAGGAAUUGCUUUGGAAACUGGAUGACUUGAGUGCAGUAGAGGAAAGUGGAACUCCAUGUGUAGCGGUGAAAUGCGUAGAUAUAUGGAAGAACACCAGUGGCGAAGGCGGCUUUCUGGACUGUAACUGACGUUGAGGCUCGAAAGUGUGGGUAGCAAACAGGAUUAGAUACCCUGGUAGUCCACACCGUAAACGAUGAGUGCUAGGUGUUUGAGGGUUUCCGCCCUUAAGUGCCGCAGCUAACGCAUUAAGCAC
rnacentral:rRNA from 1 species